UACGUAGGGACCGAGCGUUGUCCGGAUUCAUUGGGCGUAAAGAGCUCGUAGGCGGCCACUCAAGUCGAAUGUGAAACCUCGAGGCUUAACCUCGAGCCUGCAUUCGAUACUGGGCGGCUAGAGUCUGGUAGGGGGAUCUGGAAUUCCUGGUGCAGCGGUGGAAUGCGCAGAUAUCAGGAGGAACACCGGUGGCGAAGGCGGGAUCCUGGGCCAGUACUGACGCUGAGGAGCGAAAGCGUGGGGAGCAAACAGG
rnacentral:rRNA from 1 species